CUCUCAUGUGAGGUAAUUUUAACUUCUCAGUUGGAUAUUAGUCAACAUCCUUCAAGUUAGGAAUGUUCAGUGUCCCCAUAUCUAAUUUAUCUUCUUGGUUACCCUUGCUCCACGUUCCUCUGCUCCCCCCUUGCGUGUUGACAAUGGAGGCUUUACAUCACAGUGUGAGGCAGUGGUGCCUGCAAUAAGUGUAGAUGACGAGGAAGAGCUGCAUCCACUAGGUCUCUUCUCCAUGGUCGUUGUGUUCCCAAGCCCAUGUGAACUUUUUAUCUUUUUUAUUUCUUCACUUCCAUUUCUCCACUUUUCUAGGCCAAGAACCGUCUUCACUUUUCAGGUUGCUGCUGCUACAAAUCCAAAUAAUUGUUUUGUUAUCCAUGGUGCUUCUCAAUGUUCAAAAAAGCAGAAAGCUUAAGCGGAGCGGAAGGCCACAACUCAGAGCAAUGGGCGCUUAAGCGUAAGCGCGUUUAAGCGUUUUUUUUUAAAUUGGCCAGAAUCUGACUGUUUCUGAGUAAUAUGCAGGGAAAAUAGGAAAGUUCUCUCUCUUCUACUGAUGCAGUAGCACCAUCAUCAUUACUAGCAUUAUCUCCUUUGUAAAUUGGAGUUGUUAUUUUUGCUUGGAAGUGAAGUUGUUACCUUUGUUUCUUUGUUAGUAAGUGUAAAUAUAAAAUUUGAUGUCCAUAUUUUUUGCAAAUGAUGUCUCCAUCGGCUACGGGUGUUUUCUUUUGCCAUUUGCCAAUUAUACUUGCCCCCUUUUGCUACUCAAAUGCCGAUGAUGAAUUAAAAAAUAAGAUGCACUGGAGAUGGGUCUAUACAGUACCUAAAGGAUGUAAUAGUUUUCCAUUGGUUCAAAGUGAUGUGAUUAUGUUGUGAUUUUCAGAAUUGCUACUCCAGUUUUGUUCACCAUUCAUAGAACAACACUCUGCUGGUCUUGCUAUUCGCCAUUUUCCUCCCCACUAUAAUGCUGCCACUCUGUGAUGCCUCGGCAAGAAGGCCAAUCGCAGGGAGAUACGCCAUGGCAUGUCCUGAAGAGGCAAUCAG
rnacentral:lncRNA from 1 species